rnacentral:rRNA from 1 species
GACGAACGCUGGCGGCGUGCCUAAUACAUGCAAGUCGAACGCAGUGGGGACGGGUGAGUAACACGUGGGUAACCUCCCAUCAGAGGGGAUAACACUUGGAAACAGGUGCUAAACCGAUACUGAUGGAUGGACCCGCGGUGCAUUAACUAGUUGGUGAGGUAACGGCUCACCAAGGCCACGAUGGAUAGCCGACCGGAAGGGGGGAUCGGGCACAUGGGGGCUGAAGCAGGGCCCAGACUCCUACGGGGGGAAGCGUUAGGGAAUCUUCGGCAAUGGACGAAAUUCUGACCGAGCAACGCCGCGUGAGUGAAGAAGGUUUGCGGAUCGUAAAACUCUGUGGUUAGAGAAGCGGUAUCUAACCAGAAAGCCACGGCUAACUACGUGCCAGCAGCCGCGGUAAUAC